ACCCUCUCAGGGUCUUACCUAGAGAGUUCCCGGUACUCUACCAGUCUCGACUACGGGAGGGGAAGUCAAGCAGAGGCCUACCCAUUCCAUUCCUAGCUUGGCCAGUGGCUAGCAAGUGGGAGGCAAUCUGCUACAGGU